CCCUUAGAUGUUCUGGGCUGCACGCGUGCUACACUGAUAUUGCCAAUAUGUCAUUCUUAUCCGAAAUGGAUUGGGUAAUCAAGUAAUGAAAUUUCAUGCUUGGAAUCGGUAAUUGCAAUUUUAUCGUGAACGAGGAAUUCCUAGUAAGCACUAGUCAUCAGCUAAUGUUGAUUAUGUCCCCGCCCUUUGUACACACCGCCCGUCGCUACUACUGAUUGGGUGUUCAAGUGAGAUGCUUAGACCCUUGUUGCAUGGUUCAUUAUUGUGCUCCGAAAGGAAAAAGUUUCAAGCUUGAGUGUCUAGAGGAAGUAAAAGUCGUAACA
rnacentral:rRNA from 1 species